UUGUAGGUAAUUAUGCAGACCGUGUUCCUUUUCUCAUGAGAGCCUGGUGUGCAAUGGUGGCAAACAGCAGCCCCCUUGGUAGUAUAUGUAGCCUGUUGCUUGUACGGGUUGCUCUAAGGGACAUUACUUUCUUUU